GUAAUGUGUAUUUGCCCUAAUGAAAAUCCGAGAGGCUUGCAACAUAGUAUAAAGGAAUCUCAGGGGUCUAUGAAAAGUGGAGUUACAGGUUGUGGACAUAGCCAGUUCACUCAAGCCUCUGCCACUGUGACUUCCCUGCUGUGAUGAACUGUUACUUGGAACUGUGAUCCCUCCUACAGUGGCUUUUGUCACUGUAUUUGACCACACCAAUUGGAAACAAAACUAAGACAUCA